AACAAGACAACACACAACAUUGGGUUCUCAGACAUUCAGUCCAUAAUCAAUGAAACAGUGAUACAUGCACACGAAACUAUGAAAUAAAAACAUCAGACAUCAUACUGCAUUUGAAACUGUAAAAUAGAACAACAACAACUAACCGACAAAUGCACUAGACUCGAGCUCCAUUAGCAAUCUUAAAUAAUUUCACACAGUUAUUGAUUCAUGAAAUCCUGUUUUAUCAUCUAUUGCACUUUAAUACCGUGAUAAGAAAUAGGGUGAGGAAUCCUUACUUGUUUCGGGGUCCGAAUACGGCUCUACAGUGCGCCUACAGGCUGUCCCUAACUUUCCCUG
rnacentral:lncRNA from 1 species